rnacentral:tRNA from 1 species
GGAGAGGUGGCCGAGUGGUCGAAGGCGCUCCCCUGCUAAGGGAGUAUCGGGGAAACCUGAUCGAGGGUUCGAAUCCCUCCCUCUCCGCCA